rnacentral:rRNA from 1 species
UACGUAGGAUGCAAGCGUUAAUCGGAAUUACUGGGCGUAAAGCGUGCGCAGGCGGUUGUGUAAGACAGAUGUGAAAUCCCCGGGCUCAACCUGGGAACUGCAUUUGUGACUGCACAGCUGGAGUGCGGCAGAGGGGGAUGGAAUUCCGCGUGUAGCAGUGAAAUGCGUAGAUAUGCGGAGGAACACCGAUGGCGAAGGCAAUCCCCUGGGCCUGCACUGACGCUCAUGCACGAAAGCGUGGGGAGCAAACAG